AACGAACGCUGGCGGCGCGCUUAACACAUGCAAGUCGAACGAGAAGGCGUAGCAAUACGCUUGUAAAGUGGCGAACGGGUGAAGAAUACAUGGGUGACCUACCCUCGAGUGGGGAAUAACCCGCCGAAAGGCGGGCUAAUGCCGCGUACGCCUCCAUUCUCACGGGGAUGGAAGGAAAGCUGCACCGUGGGUGCGGCGCUCAAGGAUGGGCUCAUGUCCUAUCAGCUUGNGGCGGGGUAACGGCCCACCAAGGCUCCGACGGGUAGCUGGUCUGAGAGGACGAUCAGCCACACUGGCACUGCGACACGGGCCAGACUCCUACGGGAGCAGCAGUGAGGAAUAUUGCGCAAUGGGCGACAG
rnacentral:rRNA from 1 species